rnacentral:rRNA from 1 species
AACCGCCUACGGGAGGCAGCAGUGGGGAAUAUUGCGCAAUGGGCGAAAGCCUGACGCAGCGACGCCGCGUGAGGGAUGAAGGUCUUCGGAUCGUAAACCUCUGUCAGCAGGGAAGAACGGGCACUGUGCUAAUCAGCAGUGAAUUGACGGUACCUGCAAAGGAAGCACCGGCUAACUCCGUGCCAGCAGCCGCGGUAAUACGGAGGGAGCGAGCGUUAAUCGGAAUUACGGGGCGUAAAGGGCUCGUAGGCGGCAUGGCAAGUCAAGGGUGAAAUCCCCGCGCGCAACGCGGGA